rnacentral:rRNA from 1 species
GAUGAACGCUAGCUACAGGCUUAACACAUGCAAGUCGAGGGGAAACGGCAUUAAGUGCUUGCACUUUCUGUACGUCGACCGGCGCACGGGUGAGUAACGCGUAUCCAACCUUCCCAUGACUAAGGGAUAACCUGCCGAAAGGCAGACUAAUACCUUAUGUUCUUCACUGACGGCAUCAGAUGUGAAGUAAAGAUUUAUCGGUUAUGGAUGGGGAUGCGUCUGAUUAGCUUGUUGGCGGGGUAACGGCCCACCAAGGCAACGAUCAGUAGGGGUUCUGAGAGGAAGGUCCCCCACAUUGGAACUGAGGCACAGUCCAAACUCCUACGGGAGGGAGCAGUGAGGAAUAUUGGUCAAUGGGCGAGAGCCUGAACCAGCCAAGUAGCGUGCAGGAUGACGGCCAUAUGAGUUGUAAACUGCUUUUGUAUGAGGAUAAAGUCAAUAACGUGUGAUUGUUUGCAGGUACCAUACGAAUAAGGCCCGGCUAAUUCCGUG